rnacentral:lncRNA from 1 species
UGAGGAUAAUGAGGGAGGGACAGGGAACGUUUAGUGGCUCACAUGUCAUGUAUACAGGAGCUGAACACAGGAAGUAGAGUAAGCCUUCUUAAUUCGCUUGAUCCAUCCAGAGCUCCUUGUGCCUGUAGGAGCGUAAGUGUGCAGUAAUGUGAUUUUUCCAUGGGAUGACCAGUGACGACACAUGGGAUCUGGAGAGCUGGGGCUGGACAGUGCUUUCCAGCUACUCCUCUUCAGCACAAGACUUUGAGAGGGAUCUCAAGAUUGGGCCCGUCUACGAGUCGCCCAGGAUGUCCAGGCGUAGUCUCCGUCUGCACACCAGCUUGAGUCACUAUGGAGACGACAGUCUGCUUGACCCAUCUCUUCACCACAGCGCCUCCUUCAGCUGUGACAAGUAAGUACAGUAUGUCCAUGAAAAUCAGCAGGGGAUUGUUUAGCAAGAAUUAGGCCAUUAGUGCCAUAUAAUAACAAAUGCAUUUUUUUUAUGCUGACAAAAUAAGUGAUUAACUAAGAGUGUAGAAGGCAAAGAGAGCUACUAAAACUAAAAACAGCAUCAUGUGCAAUUUACAUGUUUGCAUUUAAGUUAAAGGGGUCAUAUGAUGCGAUUUCAAAAUUUCCUUUCUCUUUGGAGUGUUACAAGCUCUUGGUGAAUAAAGAAGAUCUGUAAAGUUGUAAAGACUAAAGUCUCAAAUCCAAAGAGAUAUUCUUUAUAAAAGUUGAGACUCGUCCACGCCCCCCUGAAACGGCUCGUUUAAACACGCCCCCACAUCUCUACGUCAGUAUGUGGGAAGAUUUGCAUAACGCCGCCCAGAUGUUCAUGCAAAGAAAGAAGGCGUGCCUUUUAUUCUCGUUGUAGUAUUGUUGUUGCCGCCGCUGCCAUGUCGUGUAGACGCUGUGUGUUUCACUGUGAAAAUGAAACUACUUGGUUUGGCCUUCCAAAAGAGGAAGAUAUCCGCUUCGUCAUGCCUGGAGCUGAUCCGUGCUGGUCUCUGAGGAAAUACAUCAACUUUGCACUGUGGAUCGC